UUUUUGAGAAUUGUGCUUUCUUGCUAAGCUUUAGAUGGAAGAACAAAAUCAUUCUCAUCUUUAUCUUGAAGAUAGAGCCGGCAGGUGAUUGGCUUAACUUAACCUAAAACUGGAAACGUGGGUAAACAGCCUGACCGCAUAUGUCUAGAGUUGAAAGAAAACCACGUUUUUACAUUGUGGUUGGUAUUCAGGUGAGAGACGAAUAUAUAUAAAGAGUUUGUGAGAGUUGGACAGACAUUAGCGUGGUACCUAAGUUCUCAUCUAAGGAAGCGAAUCAGCUAAUUUUCAAAAAUGUCAAACUAUUGCUUCAAUCUACUGUCAUAUAAUUCUGUGUCAACCGGUCAUUGUUUUGAAAACUGAUAUUUCUUGUAAUCAGGUAAAUACAUCAUGUAUGAAUGUGUAAUUUCUCCAGUUCUUACUUACUACCCCAAUCUAAAUGAAAACUUUUCUGUCUCCACUGAUUCUGCAGUCACUUGGGACACUCUCUCCCUAUUCUCAGGACUACGACAGCCUGGAUACAAAGCAGAGGCGAUGCUCCAGUCCAGGUUAUAUUGACUCGCCGACGUAUAGUCGCCAAGGCAUGUCGCCCAUCAUGCCCCGCUCUCCACAGCACUAUGGAUACCCUGGCUCUGAGAGUGGCAGGAGUUCACCUUAUUACGGCCAAGAGGGGCGGUCAAGCACACCCACCACAAACCAGCCCCCUAAACAUUUUCAUGUACCAGGUAGGAGUCCUCAUCUCCUCUCUGCACUUUUUCUUUUUCUUUCUUUUUUUCUCCUAAUCUCACGGAGAAGAUUUCAUCAGCCAUUACUCACUAAUGCAAAUCAUACAGAAAGGUUAUUUUAAGUUCCGUGGGA